UGCACAGAUUUUUCAGCAAGGCCAUUACUUUGAGGGUAAUGCGGGCUUGUGGUGACAUGUGUGAACUCCCAUGCUUUUGUGAAGGAUUCAAACUCAUUUGAUUUGUAACAGGGCCCAUUGUCAGAUAUUAAAGUCUCUACAAUGCCAUGCCUGGCAAAGGCUGCUUUCAGCUUGUGUAUCACAGCUGCAGAUGUGGUGCUGUGAAGCUUGUCGAGUUCGAAGUAUCUGCUGUAGUAGUCAACUGUUACGAUGUAGUCCUUGUUGUUCCAGGUGAACAGAUCGGUUGCCACGACCUGCCAGGAUCGGUCUGGGAUACAGUGAGGUAACAUUGGCUCUUUGGUGUUUGAGGGGCGUCGUUCAAGACAGGUGACGCAUUUACCAACAAUGUCCUCCAUUUGUUUGCACAUUCCGGGCCAAAACAAAAUGUCCCGUGCUCUCUGUUUGCACUUUUCCAUGCCCAUGUGUCCAGCAUGGAUCUUUGUCAAAAUCUCUUCUCUGAGACUGGCCAUCCAUCCUGUAUGACUUUCCUCAGCUGUGCGAGGUGUGAGUCCUUUUCUGUGUCUGCUUGGAUCUCCUUCAGUUUUGUGUCACUAACUGGUAAGUUGCUGUACACAGUGUGCACUUGCAUGUCCAUGCCUUCACUGAGGCUGCUGUCCUUAUAGGUAAGAAACUUCCUGGAGAGCGUGUCUGCGACAGGGAUGUCUUUGCCUGGACGGUGAGUGAUUGUGAAGUUGUAUUUUUGUAGUUGAAGGAUCAUUCUCUGUAGCCUUGGCGGGGCUGCGGCUAGUGGUUCCCUCAUGAUUGACUCCAGGGGCUUGUGGUCGGAUUCCACAAUGACUUGUCGUCCAUAUACGUACUGAUGGAAACGUUUACAUCCGAACAGAAUGGCGAUGAGCUCCUUUUCAAUUUGAGCGUAGUUGAUUUCACAGUCUGUGAGAGAUUUGGAAGCGUAGCCAAUGGGCUUUCCUUCUUGCAGUAGAACUGCACCUAGUCCAUACUUUGACGCGUACACUUGGAGUCUGAGCUCUUUGUCGGGGUCGUAGUAGGCAAGGAUUGGUCCUGGUUCUCUCGUGAUCAAGUCUUUCACAUUCUGGAAAGUAAUGUCGUGUUGCUUGUCCCAGAGAAACUCACUGGACUGCUUUAGCAGUCGACGCAGGGGCGCAUUAGCAUUGGAGAGGCUGGGUGCGAACUUGGCUAAGUAGUUGACCAUGCCAUGCACUGUUUCCAGCUCUGCAUGGUUCUUUGGUGGCUCCAUUUCUUUUAUGGCUGAGAUCUUCUUUGGAUCUGGCUUGAUUCCAGUCGCUGUGAGAAGAUGUCCGAAGUAGCUGACCUCUGUAGCGCCGACUGUGCUCUUCUCGGGGUUGAGCCGGACUCCUCUCUCGCGGGACCUUUGCAGCAUUGCGCGGAGGUUUCGGUCAUGCUCCUCUUUGGUUCGACCAUAGACAAGGAUGUCGUCCACAAUUGCCACAACUCCGUUGAGGCCUUCAUACACUUUGUCGAUCUUUCGCUGAAACUCGUCUUGGGCCGAGAUAAACCCAAAAGGCAGGCGACGGAACCUGUAGCGUCCAAACGGUGUGUUGAAUGUUGUGAGCUUAGAUGACUCUUCUGUGAACUUGAUAGCCCAGUAGCCUGAUCUAGCGUCCAUGACACUGAAGUAGUGUGCUCCCGCUAGCUUGUGUGUGAUGCCAUCUAGCGUCGGUAAAGGAUAAUGGGGGCGUUUUAUAGCCUUGUUCAAGUCUCUUGGGUCGAGACAUACUCGGAGCUUGCCUGUGCGUGGUUUCUCCACCACCACUAACGCGUUUACCCAGUCAGUCGGUUCUGUAACCUUGGUGACUAUGUCAGAUUGCUCCAUGCUCUCCAACACUUUCUUCAGACGGGCACGGAGAGCAAGGGGAAUCUUUCUCGGUGGGUAAACCACAGGGAUUGCGUCUGGGUCAAGGUGAACAUUCUCCUGGGAAUAAUCCUAUUCCUGUAAAAACAUCAGCAAACUCCUCCAGUACAUUGUCUGUCUCUACUGGUGCUGUCACUGAUAAAACUAGCUUGAUGAGGUCCAUGUCUAAACAUGCUUUAAGACCUAGCACUGCAGGUGCUCUAGUGUCAACAACGUAAAAGUCCAACAUCAUGUCACUUUCCUUGCAUUUGAAGGUUUAUGUGCCUUUUACUGGGAGCUGUUCACCACCAUAACCAGUCAGUCUGCGCAUGGUGGGCUGUAGCUUGCACUCAGAUGUCAAGCUGCAGUACUUAUUCAGAGGAAUAAUGUUUACUUGUGCACUUGUGUCUAGUUUGAACUUUAGCUUUGUGCCUUGUGUUCCUAUCUCAAUGUCAGCAAAAGCUUGCUCUGUCUCUGAUAUUUGACUUUUCUGUGUCACUGAAUCAAUAAACAGUUCAUCAGCGUUUGACAUUUCAUCUUCACUCACUGUGUGUACUGUUUUUCCACAGUAAGCUCUGCACACUUUUGCAAAGUGAUUCCAUUUUCCACAUUUAGUACCGUUUGCCUUUAGCUGGGCAAUUUCCUUGUUCGCCAUGCACUUUGUAUCCACAAUAUCCACAUGUUUUGGGGGCAUUUUGAGUCUGUGUCGCUCUGUUUUGGAGUUGUCUCUCUCCGUUCUAAAACGCGCUCUCUGCACCGGAGGUGUGCUUUGAUGUCUGCCUGACUGCGUGCACUGCUUGUUCACGUGAUGCGCUCGUGCUACCGCGCGAAAUGGUUUUCAUCUGAGCCAGUGCUAGCUCGUGAGAUCUGGCUAUGUCGAUAGCUUUGUCCAGCGUUAGCUCAGACCCAACAUUCAAAAGUUUCUCUCACUCGCGGUGAGUGUAUUCCAAAUACAAUACAGUCCCUGACCAUCUCAUCCUUGAUUGCAUAAUCACAGUCUUUCACAAGCAGACGCAGCUCUGUCACAAACUGUUCAAAAGACUUGCUAGGUCCCUGUACUUUCUCAUGGAAUUUGUACCUAGCGAAAAUCGUAUUGCUCUUCGGCACAACAUAUGCUUCAAAACGAUCGUAGUAUGUUUUCAGUACCUUUGAUUCAGCCUCGGUAAGUGUCCAUGUGUUGUAAAUCUCUCCGUUUUUCACCGAUCCAGAGGAGCAGGUAGCUGCACUUUUCCUCUUCUCUUUCCUUCAGAGGACCCGUGAACAUUAGCUCCACAUGCUGUUUGUACUUACGCCAUGCAUCGGACUCUGGCUGGACUGAAGACGAGGCAAAGUCAGAAAAAAUGUCCAAGUAUCCAGUGUCUGUCUCGCGACGGAGCCUUCAACCGCAAGAGGGCGUUGCGCUUUCACUCCGUUGUGGACGUCUCCAGUAAAAUGUAUGACAUCCGAGUAUUUAUGGGUAAUUUGAACGAGGAUUGAGGCGUUAACGACUGCAUGGUCAAUCCGACAUCUGCAGUGGCCGUACAGCAUUUACUGCGAGGCUGCCUCCGCAGAACUCUGCCAGAGAUAUUAGAGAAAGGCGAUAGGAAUGCCAUUGGACCAUGAAUGGAAGAACGCAUAACGCCCUCCAGGACACCUACACCACCCGAUGUCACAGGAAGGCCAUAAAGAUCAUCAAGUACAACAACCACCCGAGCCACUGCCUGUUCACCCCGCUAUC